rnacentral:lncRNA from 1 species
AUUUUAGCUGAAAAUCUCUUCCGUUGCAGCUUCGCUUUUAUUGAAAUCAUCAAAAGCAAACUUUCCCUGAGUUUUUUUUUUUUUUUUAAGAAGGCUAAAAUAAUACGCCGACCACUGUGACAUUCUCCGAGCCCAGGCCAUUUUUCAUAACGCCGCGGAUCCGCUUUUGUGCCUCUGAGGCGACUAAACAGAUGAAUAACGAGCAAAGUCUCUCGAAACUAGUUUGAAAAUUGGUUUCUGGCAAGAGGAAAGAAAAGCCUGCAGCACUGAAGGAAGAAUCAAAGUGUUAAAAGGACGCUCAAAAUAUAGUACUGUGGCAGGCCGGGGGGGCGGAGGGCCCAGUGCCGUAGCUCUCUCAACCCUGGCAUUGCAUGCAGGUGAAAUUCAUUUUAGGAUGAUUUUAAG